rnacentral:lncRNA from 10 species
UUUUUUUUUUUUUUUGUAUUUUUAGUAGAUACGGUGUUUCACCGUGUUAGCCAGGAUGGUCUCGAUCUCCUGACCUUGUGAUCCACCCGCCUCAGCCUCCCAAAGUGCUGGGAUUAUAGGCGUGAGCCACUGCGCAUGGGCUUCCAUUUUUAAAAAUCAAGAUUAGUGAUGCCACAGUGAGCAUCUUCCCCAUAAAGCCUUUCCUGGAGGAGGGAGACCCCCAGGUGGAAUCAGGGAUCAGAGUGUCCUUCUCUGUGGCCACCAUCCAGGGCUAGUAUACCUGCGUUCAGGCCUCAGCCCUGCCAUCCCUCAGAACGUCUAGGGUCCCUCCUGUGAAGGGUGCUCGGACCAUGGCUUCACCUGAUGCCCCAUCACCCAUGCCCAUUUGAGUGCUAAUGUAUUUUCACUGUGGUCUCCAGGCCCCCGGCUCUUCCUGUCAUGCCCCAUCGAUGUGGACGGCUCGAGAGUGUGGUUCACCGACUUGUGGAACUAUUCCAUUAUCCCCUAUCUCCUGGAAGCCGUCAGAGAAGGACUCCAGCUCUAUGGAAGGCGCGCCCCCUGGGAGGAUCCUGCCAAGUGGGUGAUGGACACAUAUCCAUGGGCAGCCAGCCCACAACAGCACGAGUG